rnacentral:rRNA from 1 species
CUAGCGACUUCAGAGUUUGAUCCUGGCUCAGGACGAACGCUGGCGGCGCGCCUAACACAUGCAAGUCGAACGGAGCAUUGAAGCUUGCUUUGAUGCUUAGUGGCGAACGGGUGAGUAACACGUGAGCAAUCUGCCUUCGAGUGGGGGACAACAGUUGGAAACGACUGCUAAUACCGCAUAAGACCACGAUCCCGCAUGGGAUAGCGGUCAAAGGAUUUAUUCGCUUGAAGAUGAGCUCGCGUCCGAUUAGAUAGUUGGUGAGGUAACGGCCCACCAAGUCGACGAUCGGUAGCCGGACUGGGAGGUUGAACGGCCACAUUGGGACUGAGACACGGCCCAG